rnacentral:lncRNA from 1 species
GCUUCUGGCAGGUCCGAGACGGGCCUGCAUCUACAGUGCGUCCUUAUUAAUGACUUGCAGGAGGUGAUGAGCAGAACAUUAAUUAAACGUGCACAUGUGGCCAAGUGGGAAAUUGGCGGCGAGAACAGCAGAGGCAGGCACAUAAUAUCCAGUCCUGUACGCCAUUGAGAAGAUAAAAAUGAAAAAAUCGAAGACAUUUGAUGCUGUAUUAAGGAGCAAGCCGACCUGACAGGCCU